rnacentral:rRNA from 1 species
CAGUCGCCACGGGAAUACGAGGGGGGCUAGCGUUGUUCGGAUUUACUGGGCGUAAAGGGCGCGUAGGCGGACUGAUAAGUCAGGGGUGAAAUCCCAAGGCUCAACCUUGGAACUGCCUUUGAUACUGUUUGUCUUGAGUUCGAGAGAGGUAAGUGGAACUGCGAGUGUAGAGGUGAAAUUCGUAGAUAUUCGCAAGAACACCAGUGGCGAAGGCGGCUUACUGGCUCGAAACUGACGCUGAGGCGCGAAAGCGUGGGGAGCGAACAGGAUUAGAUCCCCCGUAGUCCCUGUCUCUUAUACA